GAAUUUGUAAAGUAAAGUGUAUCUUUGUAAUAUGAUAUAUUUGAUUUCUUAAAUUUUUGUGUAAUAUGUUAAUUACCUAAUGGUAUUGAAUAGCUUCUUAUUAUGUUUUGACAUGCUCAUUAGAAGCUCCUAACUAUAUGUAAGUAGUUUAUGUACUACAUAAAGUAAAGAGAGAUUUUCUGCGUCUGAAGUAGUUAGCACUGGAACUUGCUUUCCACACAUACGCUGUAAUCUCUAAUAUGUUUUUUCCUAGGUGAUGCUGUCAGAUAAUGGCUGAUGUGGCUCGAUGCUCCAUCUCAGUCUUAGUUUUAUGA
rnacentral:lncRNA from 1 species